rnacentral:lncRNA from 1 species
GCAAUUAAUAAAUAAAAUAGAUCAUUAAAACACAAAAAUAAAGGUCAAAAUGCAAUGCGUGUGAACGUACGAGGAUUGAAAAUGUAAAUAAUCCGAAUAUCAAAAUGCAAUGCUUAAGCGCGGAUCCAAUUGAAUUGGCGCACAAAUUCUUGGGGCAAAAUUAAAAAACAAAAAAAUCUGAAGUAAGCUUGAUUGCGCGCUAACGCGAAAGGAGGGGACCAAUCGAGCAAAUUGACCAUCUACAACAAAUAACCAAACAUUUCGCCAUUGAAACGGUGUUGUUUCUUCCCUUUUAUAAAACCAAAUAUUUCCUUUAAAAAAACAAAGAAAACAAUCAGCCCCUUUUAAAAUAACCCUAGCCCCUUUUUAUUUCCCCAUAAUUUUCUCCUCUCUUGACCGAUUCUCAUCCCCCCAAACCACAAGCUACACAUUCAAGCCUGGAGAAUGAUUUUUCAGCUUUGAAAUCCUCUCUUGGCUUUGAUUCAAACAAAGCAAGAAAGAAAGCUAUGGCGCAUUUGCCAGGUAAGACUUCGCUCUCUCCUUUUUUUAUUUUUGAAAUCAAUGAUGAAAGACAGAAGGAAAUGAAUCGCAAGAAAAUUAAAAGGUAUGGAGAAACUCGUAUUGGAAAUCACCUUUUUAAUUUUUGAUUGCUUUCUUUUUCAAUAUGCAUGUGUAUUGCUGGGAAAAAGGAUCCUAUUUACAUCGUUUACAUUCGGUCUUAUAGCCGAAAAAUAAGUAAAUAAAAAUACAAAAAAUCCUUACUGUAAUCUGUUAUUGUUUGCUGUCAUUUGAUGUUGUGGUUUUCGUUUGUUGCAGGUGUGCAUGGCGUGGAGGAGUUAUUUGCGGAGCAUGGCACGAGUGGAAGAAUCGGCUAAAGGCUGUGGUGGCUGAAGCUUCUAAGGUUUCUGCCGAAAAUUCCCUAGGUGUUUUGGGCUUGGGGUAUUUUGGAUUAUUUAGGCUAUUUGGGUUAAGUUUAAUAAUUUGAGCCCAUUUAUUUUGGUUGCUGGGCUAUGUAAGAAAUGGACAUUGGAUUAUUAUUGUUGUUUUAUUUUAUUUUUGGUUUUAGUUUUGGUGUAGGCCCAAGCACAAAUUGGGUCUUACAAUUAUGAUAUACUAAAUUGAAGAAAAAAGAUAAUUACGUGAAAAAAAUUUAAAAAAUAAAAUUAUAAGUACCUCAAUUAGAAUAUUUGGUUCAAUUUAUUCGACUUUACUCCUUAAAUCAAUUCAGUUUAUAUGAAUAAUUUGUUUUAUUCAAUUUUUGGUAUAAAAAAUCAAACCAACCGAAUACACAAUUCUAUUGUUUGUAACUUUAAAAUUACAUUUAUAAAUAAGAGAUAUGAAAGAUGAAAUUCUCUUGCAAAAUCUAAGACAUGAACAACAAUACUGAUUUUAUCAUGACCAUCUUCAUCAAAAUAAUGGUACAAUAAAAGAACUAAUGGCAAGUCAAUGUCCAAC